GUAGGUGGCAAGCGUUGUCCGGAAUUAUUGGGCGUAAAGCGCGCGCAGGCGGUCCUUAAAGUCUGAUGUGAAAGCCCACGGCUCAACCGUGGAGGAUCAUUGGAAACUGGGGGACUUGAGUACAGAAGAGGAAAGCGGAAUUCCAAGUGUAGCGGUGAAAUGCGUAGAGAUUUGGAGGAACACCAGUGGCGAAGGCGGCUUUCUGGUCUGUAACUGACGCUGAGGCGCGAAAGCGUGGGGAGCAAACAGGGAUUAGAUACCCUGGUAGUCCACGCCGUAAACGAUGAGUGCUAAGUGUUAGGGGGUUUCCGCCCCCUUAGUGCUGCAGCUAACGCAUUAAGCACUCCGCCUGGGGAGUACGGCCGCAAGGCUG
rnacentral:rRNA from 1 species